rnacentral:rRNA from 1 species
GAUGAACGCUAGCUCCAGGCUUAACACAUGCAAGUCGCGGGGCAGCAUGGGGGUUGCUUGCAAUCCCCGAUGGCGACCGGCGCACGGGUGAGUAACGCGUAUCCAACCUGCCCUUCACCACGGGAUAACCCGGCGAAAGUCGGACUAAUACCGUAUGUUGUCCAUUGACGGCAUCCGAUUUGGACGAAAGGUUUGGCGGUGAAGGAUGGGGAUGCGUCCGAUUAGCUGGACGGCGGGGUGACGGCCCACCGUGGCGACGAUCGGUAGGGGUUCUGAGAGGAAGGUCCCCCACACUGGAACUGAGACACGGUCCAGACUCCUACGGGAGGCAGCAGUGAGGAAUAUUGAUCAAUGGGCGUAAGCCUGAACCAGCCAAGUAGCGUGCAGGAUGACGGCCCUAUGGGUUGUAAACUGCUUUUAUGCGGGGAUAAAGUGGCCCACGUGUGGGUUUUUGCAGGUACCGCAUGAAUAAGGACCGGCUAAUUCCGUG